rnacentral:misc_RNA from 1 species
AACACUGUUAACCUGCGGUACCUGCGGAAGGAUCAUUACCGAGUUUACAACUCCCAAACCCCUGUGAACAUACCUAUACGUUGCCUCGGCGGAUCAGCCCGCGCCCCGUAAAAAGGGACGGCCCGCCCGAGGACCCCUAAACUCUGUUUUUAGUGGAACUUCUGAGUAAAACAAACAAAUAAAUCAAAACUUUCAGCAAUGGAUCU